GCGCGAAAACUUUACAAUGCGGGAAACCGCGAUAAGGGGACACCGAGUGCCAGCAUCCUAUGUUGGCUGUCCAUAUGUAUAAAUCACAUGUGUUAGCAAGGGCCGGGCAAGACCGGUGCCAGCCGCCGCGGUAACACCGGCGGCCCGAGUGGUGGCCACUAUUAUUGGGUCUAAAGGGUCCGUAGCCGGUUUGGUCAGUCUUCCGGGAAAUCUGACGGCUCAACCGUUAGGCUUUCGGGGGAUACUACCAGGCUUGGGACCGGGAGAGGUAAGAGGUACUACGGGGUAGGAGUGAAAUCUUGUAAUCCCUGUGGGACCACCAGUGGCGAAGGCGUCUUACCAGAACGGGUCCGACGGUGAGGGACGAAAGCUGGGGGCACGAACCGGAUUAGAGACCCUUGU
rnacentral:rRNA from 1 species